AAUCUGGUACUUUUCCAUUUAGAAGGAGCGGUGAGGACUCAGAGAGACAGAAGAUUCCCGUAUUGUGCCAAAGCUAGAAAAGCGGGUGGAGCAGGACAGAGAGGGCGGCCAAUCAUGUGAAAACCCCUAGUUAACACCUAAGAUGUCUGCUGGAACUGACAAGGGCUGUACCAGGGGAAAGGAUUGGGCCCAGACUAGGAAGGAGUCUAGUCUGUGAAAGAAGCUGAUUGGAACAUCUCAGACGGAGGAGAAGGAAAGAGAGAGGCAGCAAGCCCUGGAGUUAAAAGACAAAGAAAUUGAGACCCAGAAACAGGCUCAAAAUGAAGCACAAAAAGCUGCCCACCAGCAAACCCUGGACUUAAGACAAAGAAAUUGAGGCCCAGAGACAAGCCCAAAUUGUGAUCCAGAAACAUGAACUGGCUGUAAUGGAGUGGAAGAGACAUAACCACUCCCAUUUAUGGAUUUUUGAGGAAGCAGAGCCAGCUGCUGAAGGGUUAUGUCCAUCAUGUGAUGAAUCCAGUGAUAUUGCCAAAUAUUUCAUCACCUUUGAGAGACUCUGCACUCUCCAUGCAAUUCCUGAGGAUUAAAAAAUUACUACUUUGGUUGCAAAAUUGACUGGGAGAGCUCUGGACGUAUUCAAUAAUUGCUGAUGCUUCAAACUAUGGUAAAUUUAAGGAACUGGUUUUGAAACAGUUCCAGAUUACACCUGAAUCCUACAGGGUAAAAUUCAGGAGUUUUAAGAGGGGAUCUGGAUUACGUAAUGUGGCCUAUGUAAGUGAAAUGAGAGAUUUGUUAGACAAGUGGGUGAGGGGAAAAGGUAUUACAAGCUUUGAAGAAA